UACGAGGGGGGCGAGCGUUGUUCGGAAUUACUGGGCGUAAAGGGUGCGUAGGCGGUGCUCUAAGUCGGAUGUGAAAACUCUGGGCUCAACCCAGAGCCUGCAUCCGAAACUGGAGUGCUAGAGUUCUGGAGGGGGUAGCGGAAUUCCUGGUGUAGCGGUGAAAUGCGUAGAUAUCAGGAGGAACACCGGUGGCGAAGGCGGCUACCUGGACAGAAACUGACGCUGGAGGCAACGAAAGCCUAGGGGAGCAAACAGG
rnacentral:rRNA from 1 species